GGGGUCCCGGCCCCUAAUAAAUACAUAAAAAGAAAAUAGAGUGGUUAAAUUUGGAUAUACUAUGUAAUAAAGAGUUCAUAAACAUUAUAAAACUCCAUGAGAAACAAAACGGAAGCAACAAUCAUUCACGGGUCCUCUUUGUUACUUGGCCGACUUGUCCUUUACCUUCGCAUGGAAAAUGAAAUCUGAAAAGGAUGAGUAUUAUAAAGACCUACUUAACCCUUUCUGUCUCAACUCAAAACCACAACUUAGAUCUCUCAAAUACAUACCAAAAAGUUGCUGGAAAACACCAAAAUCUUGCUUCACAGCGACUUAAUCUCCACUAAGACUUCCCAAAAACACCGAGAACUAUAAUGGGUAUCUAACUCCGGUGAGCGGCGACAACAAGGGAAGAUCUGGUAAAUUGGACGGUAGAUUGAGUUGGGAUCGGGGCGGCGAGGAGGGAAAUGGCUCGUGGUGUAACGAAGAAGAAGAAGAAGAAGAAGAGAAAAAAAUAAUUUGUUUUUGUAACGCUGGCAUAUUCCUUGUGGGACGGUAUUGAAACACACAAAACGAAGUUAAAAAUUACUUUAAAGAACUAAAAUUCGUGUGGCGAAGACAUGAGGACGAUGGAUGCAUUGCAUCUGCAUGUAUCAUGUAUGCACUCAACUAUUGCCCAUACAAAUAUAUAUAAAUUCA
rnacentral:lncRNA from 1 species